AAAGACUUAGUCCUAACCUUACCGUUGAUUAUUGCCAAACAUAUACAUGCAAGUAUCCGCGCCCCAGUGUAAAUGCCCUCAACUAACUUACAAAGACAAAAGGAGCAGGUAUCAGGCACACUUAACUGUUAGCCCAAGACACCUUGCCCAGCCACACCCCCACGGGUACUCAGCAGUAAUUAACAUUAAGCAAUAAGUGUAAGCUUGACUUAGUUAUGGCAAACUUAGGGCUGGUUAAUCUUGUGCCAGCCGCCGCGGUCAUACAAGAAACCCAAACCAACGGCAGCACGGCGUAAAGAGUGACACGACGAUAUCGUCCCAACUAGGACCGAAACACAACUGAGCUGUCAUAAGCACAAGAUGUGCGGAAGACCCCUAAAAAGAAGAUCCUAGCUAACAAGGCCUAAUUACUGUCACGAAAGCUAAGGCGCAAACUGGGAUUAGAUACCCCACUAUGCUUAGCCCUAAAUCUUGACACUUCCCUAACUAAAGUGUCCGCCUGAGAACUACGAGCACAAACGCUUAAAACUCUAAGGACUUGGCGGUGCCCCAAACCCACCUAGAGGAGCCUGUUCUAUAAUCGAUAACCCACGCUACACCCGGCCGCUCCUUGCCAAGUCAGCCUACAUACCGCCGUCGCCAGUCCACCUACCCUGAAAGAACAUCAGUGAGCACGAUAGCCCUAACCACGCUAAAAAGACAGGUCAAGGUAUAGCCCAUGGAGCGGAAGAAAUGGGCUACAUUUUCUAGCCUAGAAAACCACGAAAGGGGGCAUGAAAUUCCCCCAGAAGGAGGAUUUAGCAGUAAAGCUGGACCACGGCGCCAUCUUUAAGCCGGCCCCGGGGCACGUACAUACCGCCCGUCACCCUCCUCGCAAGCUACCCACACAAGUAUCUAACACAAACUUCUAGCCAAAGAUGAGGUAAGUCGUAACAAGGUAAGUGUACCGGAAGGUGCACUUAGCAUA
rnacentral:ncRNA from 1 species